GUAGACGGAUCUCUACAGGAAAAACUACAUCUGGCAUGGUGUGCAUGUGUGUAUCAGUGUGUGGGGGGCAGCAGGAACAGUAGUGAGGACAGUGGAGCUUGCCUUAGCACUCAGGCAUUAAAGAGGACUUUACACCCAUAGGUCAGAGCAGAUAAAAGGCCAGGAGGCUCCAAGAGGGCACCCCAAUCUAAAUUUGUGCCUCAGCACGUGCUGCAGCUGGCCAAGCAGACACUAAGCAGCAGCAUGGGGUUAAACAUUAUCCAUAAUCAGCACUGUAGCUGAAACAAGGGCUUAACCUUACAUUACUAAAGUACACAUAAUGACAACUUAGCCUGAAAAUUCUUCUGGAAUUAAUUAAAAGAGGCUUCAACCUAUAUUAUAUAUUAGGAAAAUAGCUACAACAAAUGACAAGUAACAGCAACUGUUAGCAUUCCCCCCCAAUGGAACGUUCCACAUCUGUUUGACCGAACUAGUCUGUCAGGGCACAGUGGACAUGUUUGAUGAAGUAGAUUGUGUUACUAGCAAUAAAAGCACUGUAAAUAGUGAGCAAUCUCUAAACUCCCUUAGCAAAGAAGGUAGUACUGUCCUCCAAGUGAGCAAGAGGCCUGAUGGUGAAUUAUUUAUGACUUUGGUGACCCAAUAUCAAUGAGCAACCUCUAUAGGAAUGGAGAGAGAGAGUGUUUGGAUAUUUAUUAUUGUAUAGAGCACUUUGGGCUUCCAGCAGUUCAGCGCAAGAGGUUCAACUGAAGGAGCACAGAACAGAGGUCAAGCCUGGGUCUGCCGGCCAGCUACAGCCCAUGCUGAGAAGGGACAUGCUUCUACGGCCAUAUUUACAUCAACUACAGUAAUAAAAUAUCAAUAAAAGCCAAGCGCCAGGCAUCUUAUGGUAACUCAGCCCAGACAAGUGGCUGUGCAGCUGUUCCAAGUCUGCUGGCAGAUCUGAAGAGGAAAAAGGUGUCUUUGGAAACAAAUAGAGCACACUGGCCUAGUCUGAGCUCUAACUCAAGCAAAUGAAUUGGCACCAUUAGUGACAGUUACUAUCCGAGCAUAUUAUUAAUAUUAAACAUGAAUAUUUCAAGCAUUAAAAAUGUUAUUACCUUCAGUAUAUGAAGGUAUUAGAAAUAAAAUACAUAAGUAAAUGGAUAUUAUUAUUUAAAGGUAUGCUUGCUGCCAUUUUCAUGAGAGGAAGUCAAAUGAAGAACUUGACACAUAAAUGCCUACAAAAUAGCCAAACAAAUGGGUUCCACUAGAAACUAGGCACACUAAUGACCACUAAACCCAAGAUGUUCCUCAGCCUUCUCCGCAGUUAAACACAAGGGCAAAAUUAGUGAGGGCUACAUUCCUGUGGGGCAACCGUUAAUGAGUGCGUACUUAUGUAUCAGUGGAAGGUCAGUGCGGCCCUGCCUAAGAUAGGAUGUGUGAUUACGUCUUAACAUGUCUUUUUAUUAACCAGUCAUUCUUGAGAAACUAAAACCACGCAGACAGAGUGCAGGCAGCACAUAAAAACACAUCAAGUACUAGAAGUGCUACUUUGAUGUUUCAUGACUGACCCCUCCAUCACAGACUGCCAGCACUUCAUAUUGUUCUUCCUCUCCAAUUUCAGUCUAAAAUCUGCCCCCGCGUUGAGUACGAAUGAUAAAUCCAAAUGCACACAUUGAAUUCAUAUGCACUUUUCCACCAGUGGCCUCUUUUUUCUUUCAGUCUAGCAGGAACAUAAUAAGCUAGCACAAGCAUACUAACAUAAAUGUACUUGCAAUUCUAUUAACAUGGAAGAAGUUGGAAGAUUAAUCGAAGUUGUGUUUGUAAGUGGAAGUGUUCUUCUAAUGCUUUGUUUUGGUGACCAUAUGUCCUUUAUGUCAGCUGAAAUUCUAAUGUUACAGUAAGGGUUAGUGUGAAAGAUGGACAAGCUGCAUAAUAGGAGGCCUUGGGGCUUUUUAAGCAGAUCUCCCUGUAUUGCAUUACCAUCAAUAAAUUCAAAGCCUGCGAUAGUGCUGACAUAAAUUAGGGGCCCCAGUCUCCUCUAACUGUUCCUCCAAAGGUGUCACUGUACCAAGUCACAUUUACCAGCCUCUUCACACUAUGAAAGUACUGCAAUUAGAUGUCUCUUUCCCCUGGAAUGCAUGCUCUCCUCGGGUUGCUGAUAUCAAAAGGCUCUUAAACUCUAUAUUCCCCCACAGAGCAGAAAAGCCAGCAGAACAUUGGAGCUUGGAAGAUUUGUCAAUUCUAUGAACACUUUGGGAAGUGUUUAACUACACUUGUGGACAUUUGUACCAUCCAGUGUGUCAUUUCUUCAUUGGUCCUGUUUUGCAGGAUCAUUAACGCACAGAUAACAGAAAGUCAGCUUGGAUUUUGAUACGCUUGUGGGCAACUACUAUUGAAGGAAGCAAGACAAAUAAUAUAUGCACCUGACUGAAUAGCAUCACUGUGGCUUUAUUAAAUAUUAAAAUGUGUGGGUGAGUAAAUUCAUUAUCUGAUUUUAUUACACUAGAGUUUAGCCAGUGUGUGUCCCCCAGGCUACUGAAUAGUCAAAGGAAGCUACUUAUGGGAUGGUUAUUUAUUUAAAGCUAAUCAAAUUCCACAACAAUUUUAUUUUCCUUUCCUUUUUCUCACAGGCAUACAAACAACACAAAAAGAUAAAUAGAUGCAGUAUAACUAACUUUUAUAAGUAAUAUUGUCC
ensembl:lncRNA